rnacentral:rRNA from 1 species
UACGUAGGGUGCAAGCGUUAAUCGGAAUUACUGGGCGUAAAGCGUGCGCAGGCGGUUAUGUAAGACAGAUGUGAAAUCCCCGGGCUCAACCUGGGAACUGCAUUUGUGACUGCAUAGCUAGAGUACGGUAGAGGGGGAUGGAAUUCCGCGUGUAGCAGUGAAAUGCGUAGAUAUGCGGAGGAACACCGAUGGCGAAGGCAAUCCCCUGGACCUGUACUGACGCUCAUGCACGAAAGCGUGGGGAGCAAGCAGG